AACGAACGCUGGCGGCAUGCCUAACACAUGCAAGUCGAACGAGACCUUCGGGUCUAGUGGCGCACGGGUGCUUAACGCGUUGGAACCUGCCCUUAGGUUCGGAAUAACUCCCCGAAAGGUGUGCUAAUACCUGAUAAUGUCUUCGGACCAAAGAUUUAUCGCCUUUGGAUGGGCCCGCGUUGGAUUAGCUAGUUGGUAGUGUAAAAGCCUACCAAGGAGACGAUCCAUAGCUGGUCUGAGAGGAUGAUCAGCCACACUGGGACUGAGACACGGCACAGACACGUACGGGAGGAAGAAGAGGGGAAAAAAGGAGAAAGGGCGAAAGAAAGAUAAAGCAAUGCCGGGAGAGUGAUGAAGGGGUUAGGGAUGUAAAGAUAUUUUAAACGGGAUGAUAAGGACAGAAACGGGAGAAAAAGAAACGGCAAAAAAGGU
rnacentral:rRNA from 1 species